rnacentral:rRNA from 1 species
UACGGAGGGUGCGAGCGUUGUCCGGAAUCACUGGGCGUAAAGGGCGCGUAGGCGGCUGGGGAAGUCGGCGGUGAAAGCCCGGAGCUCAACUCCGGGUCGGCCGUCGAGACUCCUCGGCUCGAGCUCACUAGAGGCAGAGUGGAAUUCCGGGUGUAGCGGUGGAAUGCGUAGAGAUCCGGAAGAACACCGGUGGCGAAGGCGGUCUGCUGGGGUGAGGCUGACGCUGAGGCGCGACAGCGUGGGGAGCAAACAGG